UGGUUCUGGCAUCGAUGAAGAACGCAGCGAAAUGCGAUAAGUAAUGUGAAUUGCAGAAUUCAGUGAAUCAUCGAAUCUUUGAACGCACAUUGCGCCCCUCGGUACUCCGGGGGGCAUGCCUGUCCGAGCGUCAUUAAAGACUAUCAAGCCUGGCUUGGUCUUGGGCGAGGUCUAGGGACCCGCCCGCAACCCGUCGGCGGUGCCGGUUCGGCCCUGAGCGUAGCAAACAUACUCGUUUAGGGGCCGCAGCGGUGCCCGCCAGCAGAUUCCACCUAUAUUUUGACCUCGGAUCAGGUAGGGAUACCCGCUGA
rnacentral:misc_RNA from 1 species